UCUGCAUGUCAAAGUGAAGAAAUUCAACCAAGCAUGGGUAAACGACAGGAGUAACUACGAAUAUCUUAAGGUAUCUAGAUGCCUCAUCAUAUAAUUAGUGACGCGCAUGAAUGCAUCAUUAACGAGAUUCCCCAUUGUCCCCAGAUACUAUAUUAUAGAGAAACCACAUCCAAGGGAAUGGGCUUGGAAGAAUUAGCAGGGAAAGAAGACCCUCAUGUUGAGCUUGACUCUAGUCCUAACCCAUUCAUAGUUUGGGA
rnacentral:ncRNA from 1 species